rnacentral:rRNA from 1 species
CCGACGGUGAGAGAUGAAAGCUGGGGGAGCAAACCGGAUUAGAUACCCGGGUAGUCCCAGCUGUAAACUAUGCAAACUCAGUGAUGCAUUGGCUUGUGGCCAAUGCAGUGCUGCAGGGAAGCCGUUAAGUUUGCCGCCUGGGAAGUACGUACGCAAGUAUGAAACUUAAAGGAAUUGGCGGGGGAGCACCACAAGGGGUGAAGCCUGCGGUUCAAUUGGAGUCAACGCCUGAAACCUUACCCGGAGAGACAGCAGAAUGAAGGUCAAGCUGAAGACUUUACCAGACAAGCUGAGAGGUGGUGCAUGGCCGUCGCCAGCUCGUGCCGUGAGAUGUCCUGUUAAGUCAGGUAACGAGCGAGAUCCCUGCCUCUAGUUGCCACUAUUACACCCUGGUGUAGUAGGGCGAAUUAGGGGGACCGCCGCAGUUAAUGCGGAGGAAGGAAGGGGCCACGGCAGGUCAGUAUGCCCCGAAACUCUGGGGCCACACGCGGGCUGCAAUGGUAGCGACAAUGAGUUCCAAAAUCGAAAGAUGGAGGUAAUCCCUAAACGCUACCACAGUUGUGAUUGAGGGCUGCAACUCGCCCUCAUGAACAUGGAAUCCCUAGUAACCGCGUGUCAUUAUCGCGCAGUGAAUACGUCCCUGCUCCUUGCACACACCGCCCGU